UUAUUGGUUUCUGGUAUCAAUUUAUCACUGCAGCUGAGAUCGGGGUCCAGGAAGUUAGGAUCCAGUGGCCAAAAGUUAAAAGAAGAGGCUUCGUAAGGGAAAAACACCACACAGAAAGAAACAUCUGCAUGUGAACUGAGCUUUAAGCGAAAGCUUCAGAAGGCAAGAAGGUACCAUUUUUGACCACUGUAGUAUGGGCCAUAAAGAUCCAGUUGCUAAAUUAGUGCUACAAAGGACAGC
rnacentral:lncRNA from 1 species